GACUGGACGCAAAAAUUUUCAGUUUGAAGUGAAAAUGCGCAUACCCAGCUUACAAAUGGGGUCAACGCGUGAGCUUUCUUGUUUUACCAAAUGACGCCAUUUUUUAACGUUAAAACUAAAAGAAAUUCGAUGGCAAUCUGCCAUUUUCUUUAAUCAAUCAAAGCAAAUCCCUAAUUCUCUCGUUCUUUAACCGAUUCUCAAAGACCAAAUCCUAGCCACUUCAAAAACAAAGAAAAUUCCCACUUUCACUAUUCGGCUGAUUAACACUCUAAAAUCCCCAUCUCAGGCUUCGAUUUCGAAGGAGAUAAGGACUCUGAUGGCUCGUUUUCGAAGAAUCGGUAUAGGAUAUUAGUGGGGUGUACCUUGUAUUUUCGGCCGAACAGACAGCGACGUCACGACAAGAAGCUUCCUGACGUUACAACGACAAACGACAUCGUGAUGACACAAAUGUGGAUUGGUAACGUGUUCCCCACAUAAAUUGGGUUUUUUCCUCAGUUGAACUCUACUAUCUUUUCUUAAUUAAACUCUGAUUACUUUAUUGAUAUUUUAGUCUGAUUAGACCUCUAAUCUUAGCUUAUAAAAGGGGUUAUUGUAUCCUUAUUUUGAUAGGCCAAGUAAGAGGCAAUAAAAGAUGUACUACUACACGGCUUUUCUUUUGGUGUGAUAAGAUGUACUUGCAGAAGAGUUUUGGUAACAAUUUUCGUGAUAAUUAUGAAGAGAAUAUUGUACCCCUUUUGAGAUAA